rnacentral:ncRNA from 1 species
AGUACCGCGAGGGAAAGAUGAAAAGGACUUUGAAAAAAGAGUCAAAGAGUGCUUGAAAUUGUCGGGAGGGAAGCAGAUGGGGGCCGGUGAUGCGCCCCGGUCGGAUGUGGAAGGGCGAGAGCAGUUUCGCCGAUCGGCUCAGGGAGUAGACCGACGCGGGUUGUGGCGGCAGCCCAAGCCCGGGCCUUUGAUACGCCUGUGGAGACGUCGUCGCCUCAAUCGUGGGAUCCAGUACGCGCCGUCUCGGCGUGCUUCGGCACCUACGUGCUCCGAGCGUCGGCCUGCGGGCUCCCCAUUCGGCCUGUCUUGAAACACGGACCAAGGAGUCUGACAUGUGUGCGAGUCAA